rnacentral:rRNA from 1 species
AUUGAACGCUGGCGGCAGGCCUAACACAUGCAAGUCGAGCGAGCGGCGGACGGGUGAGUAAUGUAUGGGAAUCUAGCUUAUGGAGGGGGAUAACUACGGGACACUGUAGCUAAUACCGCGUACCAUAGGAUGAGCCCAAGUGGGAUUAGGUAGUUGGUGAGGUAAAGGCUCACCAGGCCGACGAUCUCUAGCUGGUCUGAGAGGAUGACCAGCCACAAGGGGACUGAGACACGGCCCAGACUCCGACGGGAGGCAGCAGUGGGGAAUAUUGCGCAAUGGGGGCAACCUGACGCAGCCAUGCCGCGUGAAUGAAGAAGGCCUUCGGGUUGUAAAGUUCUUUCGGUAGCGAGGCGUUAACUACAGAAGAAGCACCGGCUAACUCCGUGCCAGCAGCCGCGGUAAUUC